UGAGGAAUAUUGGUCAAUGGGCGCAAGCCUGAACCAGCCAUCCCGCGUGAAGGAAGAAUGCGCUACGCGUUGUAAACUUCUUUUCCAGGGGGAGAAUUUUCCUGUCGAGACAGGGAUUGACGGUACCCUGGGAAUAAGCAUCGGCUAACUCCGUGCCAGCGGCCGCGGUAAUACGGAGGAUGCGAGCGUUAUCCGGCUCUAUUGGGUUUAAAGGGUGCGUAGGCGGAUUGAUAAGUCAGAGGUGAAAUUCUGCAGCUUAACCGUAGACUUGGCGUUGAUACGGUUAGUCUUGGGUGGGGUCAAGGCAGGCGGAAUGUGUAAUGUCGCGGUGAAAUGCUUAGAUAUUGCACAGAACACCGAUUGCGAAUGCAGCUUGCUGGGUCAUUACUGACGCUGAUGCACGAAAGCGUG
rnacentral:rRNA from 1 species